rnacentral:rRNA from 1 species
UGUCUCAGUUCGGAUUGGAGUCUGCAACCCGACUCCAUGAAGCUGGAUUCGCUAGUAAUCGCGCAUCAGCCACGGCGCGGUGAAUACGUUCCCGGGCCUUGUACACACCGCCCGUCAAGCCAUGGAAGCCGGGGGUGCCUGAAGUGCGCUGCCGCAAGGAGCGCCCUAGGGUAAAACCGGUGACUGGGGCUAAGUCGUAACAAGGUAUC